AUCGGCGCUGUGAUUGGCUGUGCUGCUUUGCUGUUCAUUCCUGAUCAUCUUUGUUGUGUGGAGACGGAGACAAAAGAAAUUCAAAAACAAGAAGACGAGACGUGAGGAUGGAAGUGAACACUCUGAGGAAGAAAAGCUAGUCACAUCUAAAAGUGAUAAAACAGGAUUUCAGGUUGUGAAUGAAAAAGAAGAAAACCUUCCACUCAUUUCAGUUAAA